rnacentral:rRNA from 1 species
CCUGGCUCAGGAUGAACGCUAGCUACAGGCUUAACACAUGCAAGUCGAGGGGUAGCAGGGUAGCAAUACCGCUGACGACCGGCGCACGGGUGAGUAACACGUAUCCAACCUUCCCAUAACUCAGGGAUAGCCUUUCGAAAGAAAGAUUAAUACCUGAUAGUACUUUUUCAAGGCAUCUUGAGAAAGUUAAAGAUUUAUUGGUUAUGGAUGGGGAUGCGUUCCAUUAGAUAGUUGGUGAGGUAACGGCUCACCAAGUCUUCGAUGGAUAGGGGUUCUGAGAGGAAGGUCCCCCACAUUGGUACUGAGACACGGACCAAACUCCUACGGGAGGCAGCAGUGAGGAAUAUUGGUCAAUGGGCGAGAGCCUGAACCAGCCAAGUAGCGUGAAGGGGUAGAAGGUCCUAUGGAUUGUAAACUUCUUUUAUAGUAGAAUAAAGUGAUCCACGUGUGGAUUUUUGUAUGUAUACUAUGAAUAAGGAUCGGCUAACUCCGUGCCAGCAGCCGC